ACAGCAUGGAAACAGGGACACCUACAGUAUGUGUGGAGAAAUGACGGCAGACGUGUGCUCGACUGCUUUUUUUGAGAAUUGGCAGACAAGAUGAGCUAUUCUGAAACUGUCAAACAGGAAACUCUAGCUCAAUAAAUAAAAAAAGAAGGUAACCGAGGGGAAAAGAAAGCAUUUCAAGCAUCAGUAUGGUUGUUAUAUGACGCCAUACAAGCUGCCAUUACUUUAAAAGGGGCCAGGGGUGUAGCACACAGUUCUGGAUGCUGGACAGAUGUCUCCUCUACGGGCCCCUCACUGCAGCCACAGCUGUACAGUGGUGUAGGUUGUCAUCUUAAAACCUGGAAAUCAGGUUCCAGUGCUCUAGUCUCAAAGUGUACUAUUUUUCUGAAUUGGUUUUCAGUUAAAUGCCUGAAAUAAGCGAUUAAAUUUACACAUUGCAAAUCACAGAAGGUGGUGUUCAUCUGAGAUUAUCUCACUGAUUAAACCAUGUUGGCCAAAUACCAUGGGGCUGAUCAAAGAAAAUCCUUAAUCCUCCACGCGUCUGCAUUCGAGCUGUACAACAACACAGUUUACUUGGAUGGAUCAGCUCUUUUUCCAUCAACCAACAACUGAAAGUGCAAAGUCCCAGACACAAACUCAACCUUUACUGGCAAUAAAAGAAAAAACACCUUGACGCUUCAUCUCCACAGAGGUACAAACCAAACGGAGGGGCUUAACGUUUCAAGCAGCAAAAAUAAGCAACACUCAGAAUUGUAGUGCAAAACAUUGAAGACGAUCUUUAUUGUUCACAGUUAAACACAAGCCACUGCUUUAAGAACUUCCUUUUUGUCCCAGAUUCUCCAGCUCCUGUCAGAGUCCUGGUUUCUUCAGUUUGUGCUGAUUGUACCUUCUGUCUUGGUUUGCUGUAGUUACUACGGUUGGCAUUUAAAGUGGAUUGUUGAACAUGCUUUAGAUAGCGAGGCAAAAGGAAAUGACAGCAGGAGUUCCCAGUGGACAACAGGAUUUAGACGACUCUCACAACCAGAGUUUACUUCUAAUGCCUAGAAGGAAACGAGGCAACUCUUGUGUUUGUCAGACCUGCAGAGAGGGAACCUGAUUGAACAAGGUGUUUGGUUUAAUUUUCCAGGUUGUAGCAGCUGAAGUGACCCGCAACGUGAGGAACAACACUUCUGUUUAGAGAGGUUUGAAUUCAGCCAAAAACACAAACGUUUGCAUGGCACUUCAGAGUGAUCAGCUGGUCGUCUUUAACGGAAAGCUUAUUAUUUAUUUUUUUCCCAUCGCUUGGGCUUGUGUUACUUGCCAGGUCUGAGUCUAAUUUAGGAUAUGUACUUGUGAGCGCCCUUCAUGGCUGAAUAAAUAAAAAAUUAAAAAGGUACGUUGGAAUGUGGAAUUUAUAAAAAUGCAUAAAACUUCAUCCGUUUCUUGAUUUCAUACACCUUUCUCACGGCAUCUUGGCUGAAAUACGAGAACCAACAUGAUUGCAUCGCUAGCGUACACAUUCGUAAACACAACACAUUCUCCUGCUGAAUUAUUUUGGACAAAAAAAACUCAAAGGAGUUUUCGUAUGGAAAUGUUUUUUCCCCAGUUCACUCCGGCAACGAUAAAGGUCACACUCCCCCCGCAAAACAAAUCAAACAUCCAAACACACUGAUCACCUCCUCCACUCCGAUGUAACAUGUACUCUGAUCUCACUAACAUUUUUUCGGCCAAAGCGCACCCAACAGGUGAUGGGGACAAAUGUAACAUCUCUUCUGGUGUUUAAUGUCUGAUUUGAUUAGAAUUGGAGGCAUUUAAAGGGUCAGUACACCCACAUGACCAAAAAUAAUU